GAGUUUGAUCAUGGCUCAGAUUGAACGCUGGCGGCAUGCCUUACACAUGCAAGUCGAACGGCAGCAUGAUCUAGCUUGCUAGAUUGAUGGCGAGUGGCGAACGGGUGAGUAAUACAUCGGAACGUGCCCUGUAGUGGGGGAUAACUAGUCGAAAGAUUAGCUAAUACCGCAUACGACCUGAGGGUGAAAGUGGGGGACCGCAAGGCCUCAUGCUAUAGGAGCGGCCGAUGUCUGAUUAGCUAGUUGGUGGGGUAAAGGCCCACCAAGGGGACGAUCAGUAGCUGGUCUGAGAGGACGAUCAGCCACACUGGGACUGAGACACGGCCCAGACUCCUACGGGAGGCAGCAGUGGGGAAUUUUGGACAAUGGGCGAAAGCCUGAUCCAGCAAUGCCGCGUGUGUGAAGAAGGCCUUCGGUGUAA
rnacentral:rRNA from 1 species